AUUUUAAUAGCUUAUAAUAGAGCAUAAUAUUGAAGAUAUUAAGGAGAUUUAUAAUCUUAAAAUA
rnacentral:tRNA from 1 species